GACAGAGGAUGCAAGCGUUAUCCGGAAUGAUUGGGCGUAAAGCGUCUGUAGGUGGCUUUUUAAGUCCGCCGUCAAAUCCCAGGGCUCAACCCUGGACAGGCGGUGGAAACUACCAAGCUGGAGUACGGUAGGGGCAGAGGGAAUUUCCGGUGGAGCGGUGGAAUGCGCAGAUAUCAGGAGGAACACCGAUGGCGAAGGCAGAUCUCUGGGCCGUAACUGACGCUGAGGAGCGAAAGCGUGGGGAGCGAACAGG
rnacentral:rRNA from 1 species